UUAANUCCAACACCUUACCCUUGUUAUACACCCUCGAUGUAACCAGUGAUGAAAUUAUGCAAACCAUCGCUUGAAUCUAUGCAAAAAAAAACUCCAAGUUUGAAACCCAUGAAACCAACUAUGCAAAAACCUACAAAAAGAGACAGUUUUUUAAGAGAUUAUAUGAAGUCAAUUAUGCAACUUUUUCAUUAUUUUGCAAUAAAACAAGAUAAUUUUUUAUCUAUUUUUUUAUCUAAUUUUUUAUCUAAUUUUUUAUCUAAUUUUUUAUCUAAUUUUUUAUCUAAUUUUUUAUCUAAUUUUUUAUCUAAUUUUUUAUCUGCCUCUUUUGUGGGUUGACAAGUUAAAAGUUUCUAUGCAAGGGCUAAACCGGAGAUAGUAAGUAAGGUUUAUAUUUCUAUAUAUAUAUAUAUAUUGUUAAUAUUUCUCCGACAAAUCCUUCCUUUUCUCUUGUUGUUAAGUGUACCCGGAGUAAAACUUAAACUUUUCCAAAGCUCUAAUUCUUUAUCUUUUUCAUUUUCUUGAAAUUAAAAAAAGAUAUUUUUUUCCUUCCAGAACUGUUUUCUUUAAUUUUAAACAAUUUUUUACAUUCUAAAGAUAAGUUUUUAACAAGUGGAAAGAAUGGGUUUGUUAGUUCUAGAGAGUGCUAUACAGUUAAAUUUUAUAGUUGGUGUUAGUUCGUAUUUUUCAAUUUUCUCUAGACUUGCAUUUGUUUAAAGAUUAAGGUUCAAAUUAGAACAAUGAUGAUUAAUCCAUUAUAUGUUUCACAACAUGUGUUUUGCUCUCUGGGUUGGUUUGGGUCCUGCCCUGCUCUGGUGGUUGUUUUUAGCCAUGCUCCAGAAUAGUAGGUUCUAACCUUGCUCUAGUAGUAGGUUCUAACCAUGCUCUGGUUGAAGGUCCUUAUCAUGAUUCCGGUGUAGAUUCUAAUCCUUCUCUAAUAGUAGGUUCUAACCAUUCUAUAGUAGUAGGUUCUAACCAUUCUAUAGUAGUGGGUUCUAACCAUUCUAUAGUAGUGGGCUCCACCGAUAAGUUCGAACCAGGUUCCUGUAGCAGGUUCACACUAUGUCCGGCUUAGGUUCUAAGUACGUUCCGGAUUAUAUACUAUCCUUGCUGCAGUUGUAGGUUCUAACCCAGAUCUGAAAGCUGGUUUUAAAACCCUGAUCCGGUAUUAAGACCUAACCCAGCUCUGAUCCGGUAUUAAGAGCUAACCCAGCUCUGAUCCGGUAUUAAAAGCUAACCCAGCUCUGAUCCGGUAUUAAAAGCUAACCCAGCUCUGAUCCGGUAUUAAAUGCUAACCCAGCUCUGAUCCGGUAUUAAAAGCUAACCCAGCUCUGAUCCGGUAUAAGGACCCAACCCUACUCUGAUACGGUAUUAUGACCCAAUCCUACUCUGAUACAGUAGUAGGAUCCAACCCUACUCUGGUACGGUAGUAGGAUCCAACCCUACUCUGGUACGGUAGUAGGAUCCAAACCUAUUCUGAUUUAAAGUUCCGAUCAAAUCUUCCUCUACCCCAAUCUUUGAGAAAAUAUGUAUUUAUUUUAUUUGGAUUCAACGUCAUAUUAAACCAUGUUUGGUUGUUGGUUUCCAAGACUCCAAGCAUGGUUCUGAACUAUGUUUAAAUAUUACUCAGGUUUCAGGAUUAGGCCUAGCGAAGUUUCCCUGUUCUUUAUUCUUAGCAAGUAUAGAGAGAAAACCUAACAAUGUUUGUAUUAAUAGAAUUUAGAUAUUUUCCCGAUAUCCAUGUGUAAAAUUCAUAGAUUAUUGAAAUAAAAUAGUUUUAAUAAAUAUUUCUGCUCUUU